UAACCCCGCGGUCACCUUAGUCGUCUGCGUGCCCAUACUCUUAACUUGCUGAUCGACUCGCCGUGCCUGUGCUGGAUCAACCCCCUCCCUCGCCGUGGCAGAUCAACUCGCUGUGGCUGACACCGCCGCGGUCGCGAUGGCGACACCGCCGCGGUGGCCGUCGCAGAUCAUCUCACGGUGGUGGACGCCGCCCUCGCCGUGGCGGACAACGUCUUCGCCGUGGCGAGCACCGCGUUCACCGUGGCAGAUCAACUCGCUGUUGCCGACACCGAGGUUGCGAUGGCGGAGACCGCGGCGGAUCAUCUCGCGGUAGUGGACACCGCCCUCGCCGUGGUGAUUUAACGCCGUCACUCGCCGUGGCGGAUCAUCUCGCCGUGGUAGAUUAACAUCGACUCCGAGGUCGACUCUUUCACGGACAGACUGCGGAAAGCUUUUGGUUCAGUCUCAGCUGCUCUUUUCAUAUAUUCUCCUUAUUUUUAAACAGAUCAGAAGUUUCUGGCACCACUUCAGGUCCUUUCUUGGAGACGAGCAUAAGAUGGUCAUAACAAUAAUGUUCUUUGCUUCAGGAUUCUGUGUGUUGAUUUCACCCACUGCCUAUUCUUUAAUAAGUCAUUUUUAAUAAUAUCGUUGAAAACAACUCCAACUUUAAGAAAGAGGUAAGUUUAGUUUUAUAGAAGAGAGAGAUUCUCUCUGUCAGGUGAAUAUCUGCAAAUAUACAAACACAUUAAAUCUGAGUCUGUAGAUGACAGUCAGCAAUGCAGCCCCAUUUAAAAACAUUAAGAAAAAAUUAAAGUGUGAAUCAGCGACUGCUGCUGUCUGAACUUUUAAUGUGACUCUUUCCUUACUUGUGUAAAAUAUCUGAAUGAUCAGUCAUUACUGCUUUUCUUGAAACCUCAACACAGAAAAAGAAUAAAAUCCACAUGAUGUGAAAUCCAUCACUUUCUUGCUCUA